rnacentral:lncRNA from 1 species
CAAGAAUUCAAAGUUAAAAGUCUAUUGUAGCUCUUGAAAAUAAACUAAAUUAUACAUUAAAAAAAAAUAGAAUUUGAAAGAACAAGAACAACUUUGAUGAUGGAUGGAGGGAGGGUUUUGUUGAAUGCUUGGAUCGAGUUAUAUCAUGUAUGGUCACACAAACCAACCAGUCAGAAAACAUCUGUUUCUUUUUCUAUAUUUGUCUCUCACACUGCGAUUAUGGCUAAAGUAAUCGAUAUAGAUCAAUCACAAGUUAAGGUUAUGGACAACCUUUAAUCAGAAAGAAGAGCAGCUGCUUAAUUAAACCAAUGCUACUGCAUCUAACUUGGUAAUUG